rnacentral:lncRNA from 1 species
UGGCAACCAGGAUAGAAGAUCAGUUGUGCUGGGGGAGGGGAGCCAGCCAGGUUGUAGAAACAGCAUCCCUGACUUUGUUCUGCUAACUGUGCAGAGAGAGGUGAUAGUCUCCGCCCAGGCCAUGAGGGACCUGGAAAUGGCUGAUGACACGGUGGAGCUCGGCCACACCAGGCCCAGCUGGCCCCACAGCAAACCAGAGGGUCCAAGGGAAGCUGGGUCCUGCCCACCAAGGUCCCAGGGAUCCUCCUCUGAGGCCCCCUCUCUCCUUUGGGUUUAGUCAACGGAGAGGGAGAUGGGGAGAGGACUGAAAGGUCUCCCCAAAGGUACAAGCUGAGAGACCUGGAUUUGCAAUGCAGACAGCUCACAUGGACCCAAGUUGGGGUUAACAUGCAGAUUGUGCAGGGGUUCCCUGCGGAUGCACCCCUGUGUGCCCUGAUGUGGACCUGCUCCUUCCUGCUUCCUGGGCUCCAGACAGAAACACCGUACCCCUGCACCAGCCUCUGCCUCAGCUCUUCACAGUCAGCACACCCUCCGCUUCCUGUCAGGGUGUUCUCUGCUGAGUCUGGUUAUGGGAUCCCUUUCUGUGCAGAGCCAUGCUCCCGUGUCACUGUGUGUCACCUUCAAGCUGUCCCCGUGUGUAUGCCUGUGUGAGAAUAUGUGUGUGUGGGUUUGCCAUCGAAGGAAAACCUUUAUUUUGGCUGCUAACAUUUGGAAACAUUUAGAGAACAAACAAUAUCUUUUAAAAAACAUCAAAGGUUCAAAAAAACAAGACAAGAAACAAACUGUUGUAAAAUUUCAACUCCUCUAAAUUUGUCUUAAAUUGAACUUAGAACUAAUCUAAUAAAAAUAGUAUGAAGUUUCAA